UACGAAGGGGGCAAGCGUUGUUCGGAAUUACUGGGCGUAAAGGGCUCGUAGGCGGCCAACUAAGUCAGACGUGAAAUCCCUAGGCUCAACCUAGGAACUGCGUCUGAUACUGGAUGGCUUGAAUCCGGGAGAGGGAUGCAGAAUUCCAGGUGUAGCGGUGAAAUGCGUAGAUAUCUGGAGGAAUACCGGUGGCGAAGGCGGCAUCCUGGACCGGCAUUGACGCUGAGGAGCGAAAGCCAGGGGAGCAAACGGG
rnacentral:rRNA from 1 species